rnacentral:snoRNA from 1 species
GCGAGAUGAUGAUAAAAUUUAUGGUCUGUCAAUCCACUGAGUAUUAAAUCAAAUUUGAAACUAUGUUGUUUUCUGCGUGAGGUGAGGCGAGGCGACGGGCCAGGCGCCUCGC